GUGACUAAGUUUGCCGGCGUCUGUGUGUGGCUCCGAGAGCUCCACUCGCACAUACACUACACGAAGCAGCGCCUCUCUCGACGGACACCACUCGAGAAGUUGCUGAUUUUCUCUCGCUCGCCCUCACCUCCUUUGCACUCAGCUGCUGCACCGCCGGCGAUGGGUCCAAUCGACUCCUCUUGUGUCGUUGCCACGCUGACGUCUAGCAAGGUCGGCGCAUCGUCGUCUUGUCCCGGAACGGCGACAAGCGCUGGCGAGAUAGAUGAGCCUGCUUCUCGCGCCGCGGCAAGCACACCGAUGCCGCCUGCAAGCGAAGCGCAUGAGGGAGGUGCGGUGACCGCAUCGAGUGCCUCGGCGCCACUAGUGAACAUCGAUUCUGCUGCGCUUCGCGAGGGCGGGCUUCCCAGUGCGGAGGGACUUACUUGCAUUGCGCGAUCACGUUAUGAUGCGUCGCCAGCGCGUUUACUGCUAAAGCUGUGGAGGUUUCUUGCUGCCGACGUCUUUGCAAGCGUGUAUCAGGUGGUAGAUGCCUUUGGAGACGACGCGGUGUGGUGCGACUGCGGCGAGGCGGGCGACUCGGCCGCGCUACCAACGCAGCUUCCGCUCAUGGCGUCGCAUGAACUGGCCACGUUUGCGGGCACGGCCAGCACCGACCUCCCCGCUGCUUCUUUUCGGAUUCCUGAGCUACUGGCACUAUUUCGCCACUCGAGCACGUCACUGGAGAACACGCUCCGGUAU